UGGGCAACCUGCCCCUAGCACUGGGAUAACCCCGGGAAACCGGAGCUAAUACCGGAUACGACCACAGUUGGCAUCAACCUAUGGUGGAAAGAUUCAUCGGCUAGGGAUGGGCCGCGGCCUAUCAGCUUGUUGGUGGGGUAGUGGCCCACCAAGGCGACGACGGGUAGCCGGCCUGAGAGGGCGACCGGCCACACUGGGACUGAGACACGGCCCAGACUCCUACGGGAGGCA
rnacentral:rRNA from 1 species